rnacentral:lncRNA from 1 species
GAGCAGUUCCUUCCGGUCGGCGUGCGGGCGCCGGGCUGCCCAGCUGACUUACGGAUCGGGUUGGUCCCGCCCCCGGCGCGGCCGUUUUGAAAAUCCUGGUCCGCCCUUGGCGAUUUUGGUGGAAGCCUGUCCCUCAGAACGGUCUCAGUAUAGUGUUUUGUGCCCCGUUUGUGUCCGUCUCAAGAGCAGAGCGGCCCUCCGCGCGGCCCUUUUAUCCACCAGGGGGCGCCCGCGGCGGGAUCUUCUCUCCACCUAUUUGGGCGGACUCCUCCGGGUUUCCUCGUCAGUCUCCUUUUCGCAAAACAACUUUGGGCCUCUACUAGGGGUUUCCGAUUCUAAGAACUAACAUUUUGUUUUGUUUUCUGUUUUGAGACAGGGUCUCGCUCUGUUGCCCAGGCUGGAGUGCAGUGGCGCGAUGUCGGCUCACUGCAACCUCCACCUCCCGGGCUCCAGCGAUUUUCCUGUCUCAGCCUCCCAAGUGACCACAGGCGCGCGCCACCACGCCCGGCUAAUUUUGUUCUUUUAUUUUUUGUAGAGAUGGCGGUCGGGGGAGGUGGUCUCACUAUGUUGCUCAGACUGGUCUCAAACUCCUGAGCUCAAGGAGUUCGAACUCUUCCCGCCUUGGCCUCCCGAAGUGCUGAGAUUACUGGCGUGAGCCACUGCGCCUGGCCAAAACUAACAUUUUGCCAUGCAAGUUUAUUCCCCAGACACUCUUCUGGGCAAGCCUGUCACUCUUUCUUAUGACAUUUUACACAUAAUCUCCAAUAACUUCACAUCUGACGAAAAGCCAAAGCUUUUUUUUUUUUUUUUUUUUUUGAGACGGAGUCUCGCUCUGUCGCCCAGUCUAGAGUGCAGUGGCGCGAUCUCGGCUCACUGCAAGCUCCGCCUCCCGGGUUCACCCCAUUCUCCUGCCUCCGCCUCCCGAGUUGCUGGGGCUACAGGUGUCCGCCAUCACGCCCGGCUAAUUUUUUGUGUUUUUAGUAGAGACCGGGUUUCACCGUGUUAGCCAGGAUGGUCUCGACCUCCUGACCUCGUGGAUCCGCCCGCCUCCGCCUCCCAAAGUGCUGGGAUUACAGGCUUGAGCCACCGCACCUGGCGGAAAAGCCAGAGCUUUUAUAAUGAUUUACAAGAUCCUCUCCUACCCCAUCCUACGCCAUCUUCUUAUUCCUCUGAAGCCACAGUAGACAGUUUGCUAUUCCCUGAACACUGCUGACAUACUCCUGCCCCAUGGCCUUUUCACUUGCCUUGGUUGAGGGACCUCUUCCUCCAGUUAUUUGUAUGGCUCCCAUUCACCUCCUUCAGGCGCUUUGGCGUCGGUCACCCUGUCAGUGAGGCCCUCCAUGGCUGCCAUAAUUAAAAUUAACCCCACAGACACUUCUUUUUCUCCAUAUAGCUUUUUCUCCAGAGUACAUUUUACAAUCUAACAUGCUAUUUACGAAUUUGUUUGUUUGUUUAUUGUUACUAGAAUGUGUGUUCCAGGAUAUUCCAUCUUGUCUGUUUUGUUUAAAGCUAUAUCCCUAAUGCGUAUGACAGCCUGGUACACAAUGUGCAAAUAAAUGUUUGUUGAAUGAAUAAAUAUGGUUUUUCGGUUUGGGUUUUUUUUUUUUUUUUUGAGACGGAGUCUCGAUCUGUUGCCCAGGCUUGAGUGCAGUGGUGCGAUUUCAGGUCACUACAACCUCCGCCUCCUGGGUUCAAGCGAUUCUCCUGCCUCAGCCUCCCCAGUAGCUGGGGCUACAGGUGCCCGCCACAGCGACUGCCACCACAAUAUUCAUGGCUGGGCGUGGUGGCUCAUGCCUGUAAUCCCAGCACUUUGGGAGGCCGAGGUGGGCGGAUCACCUGAGGUCAGGAAUUUGAGACCAGCCGGGCCCAUCAUGGUGAAACCCCGUCUCUAAUAAAAAAUACAAAAAAAAAAAAAAAAACUAGCUGGGUGUGGUAGCGCAUGCCUGUAAUCCCAGCUACCCAGGAGGCUGAGGCAGGAGAACUGCUUGAACACGGAAGGUGGAGGUUGCAGUGAGCCGGGAUUGCGCCACUGCACUCCAGCCUGGGUGACAGAGCGAGACUCCGUCUCGAGGAAAAAAAAAAAAAAGAAAGUGCUCCCAUACCAUGUUCCAUUUAUGCCUGAUAUGUGUUUAAGGGUUAAAAGUAAAGCCAACAAAGGGAAUCCUAAGACUGUGAGUUCUGGGUCAUUGUAAGGUUCCUCAGUGCUGUUGAACUGAGCAAACCAUUUAGGACAGACCCAACAAUUAGUCUUGUUGUAGAAAUGGGCCAUGGCGGAUAUUGUAGGAGCUAAAGGGUGUGACGUAUUACUAAGUCCCAUAAAAAAUCCUAACAGACCUAGUGAUAGUAAAACACUCAUGUUUACUGUUGGUUAAUAAC